rnacentral:lncRNA from 1 species
ACACAUUCUGAUCAUAAAAUCGAAUGUCAUCUGUAAUUAGUUUAAAGCUCGCAAGGCUUCUCUUCUUACUAUUUCUAUGUGAUAUCCAUGAGAUCGAUGCAAAUAUUGUAGCCGAUAAUGGGUCCAAUCGUCGAAUUACAGUUGUUACUUCACCAGUUAAAGGUGUAGCUGAAAAUCCACCAGGCAUCGUAGCUGGUAUAGUCAACCGGAAGUAGAUGAACCAUGUAGACAUCCUUGUCCUUAGUUAAUCAUUGAGUCAUGGUACCGUUAUUAUAUGAAGUGUAAUUGUGUGUUCAUCGACAAAAUAUCAAAGAAAAAUAUUUGGUAAUUCAGAUUAUAUUUAUGGUAUCAAAUUAUAGUAAAAUAUUGUAAUAUGAGAUCUGAUAAUACCAACUCCUGUACAAGGAGUAUGGCCUGAAAAUAGGUACAAAUGUUCAAAAAAGAUCAGAUAUUGCAAACAGACAUUGGGAUCUAAGCCAUGUCCAAAUCGAGUUUUCCACCCAUGUUUAUUGUUGGUAGGAAGACAUAUCAAAUUGUUGGCCACUUUCAAGCCACCGACUGGAAAUCUGGUCGAUCUAAAAGGGCUCGUCUUCUUCUGACGAGAUGUGCAGUGUGUGAGAUGGCUGAAAUCAGAGAUCCCUAAUCAAUCAGAUUAGGGGUGCGUGAGCAGCAGAAUGGGAGUUGGAAAAUCAGUUGUUUCCAAAUACAACAGUUAGGUGAGUCAAAUUGUAUUGAAAAACCCUUAAUUGUUUAAUUUACAAACAACUCUAGAGUUACUUAUGGGCUUAUGUCAGUAUUGGCCCAUUAGUUAUCAACUGAAAUAAAACUGAAAACUGAUUUAUAUUUUAAUAUUAACCUUAAAUAGAUAGUUAUUCUCUAACUAACUAAGUAGCUUAAUAAACCUAAUUGGCUGGGCUUUUUAUCUUCACACCCUCAGCUUUCUGUCCUUGUGAUCUUUCCCUUGAAUUUGAUAUUAAUCACAAUACUCCCCCCUCAAAUUGGGGAGUAGAUAUCAUCUAUGUCCAGUUUGACCAAUGCUUCAUUCAUGAGUGUUUCUCCUACUACUUUGGUGAAGAUAUCUACCAAUUGAGUGUUUGUACUUGUAUGUUUCAGUUUUAUAACUCUUUCUAAUUUUUCUCUUGAAAAAUGACAUGUCAUUUCAAUAUGCUUUGUUUUCUCAUGGAAAACUGAAUUUUCAGCAAUGUAUAUUGCUUAUUUGCUAUCACAAAGUAUAGUUGUUGGAUUAGUUGAGUUUAUGCCCAAUUUACCCAACAAUUGUCUUAACCAUACUAUCUCACAUAACACAAAGCACAUUGCUCUGUAUUCUUCCUCAGCAGAGGACAGUACCACUGUCUUUUGUUUACUAAAUUUCCAAGAAAUUAGGUUGUUUCCUAAUUGUACACAAAACCCAGUCAUAGAUUUUCUGGUUAGGGUGCAUGAACCCCAAUCAGCAUCACAGUAAGCUUUAAGUUCUAAGUUUUUGUUGUUUGAUAUUAAGAGUUAUUGCCCUGGUGCUUUCUUUAGGUAUCUCAGAAACUUGUAUACUGCCUUCAAGGUGCAUCUGUGUGGGUUUCUCCAUAAACUGACUCAGAAUUCUUACUGUGUAAGUUAUGUUAGGUCUAGUGACAUUGAGAUAUAUUAAUCUAUCUAUUAAUCUCCUAUAUAUAAAAGGAUCUUUAAGUUCUUUUGAUUGAUCAUUUCUCCAAUCAAUCCCUUUUUCCAUAGGAAUUUUUGAAUGCUUAGCUCCUAUAGAAGUCCAUUUUCUUUUAGAAGGUCCAGAGUAUAUUUUCUUUGGUUUAGAAAUAUUUUAUUUUCCGAAUGAGAGAACACAAUGCCUAAAAAAUAAUUUAGUCUCCCAAGUUCUUUUAUUAUGAACUUUUCUUGUAAUUUUAGCUUUAGAUCUGAAAUUUCAUAAUUUGAGUUUCCAGUUACUAUUAUAUCAUCUACAUAUACUAGUAGAUGGAUAGUAUUUUAGUUUUCAUUUCUUGUAAAGAGUGAGUAGUCUGAUUUGCAUUGUUUAAAGUUUAAUGCUAUUAGUAUACUCUUUAGUUUUGCAAACCAUUGUCUAGAGGCCUGUUUUAGGCCAUAUAUGAAUUUCUUAAGCUUACAUACUCUUGAAUCUCCCUCUUUGAGGAGAUUUGGAGGUGGCUUUAAAUAAAUUUCUCCAGUUAAUUCCCCAUGCAAAAAUGCAUUAUUUACAUCUAAUUGAUAUAAUUCCCAUCCUUUGGUGCAAGCUAUUGCUAUCAACACUCUUACUAUUGCCAUCCUGGGGGACGUUUCCCCAUUCAUUAGUGUGGGGCCCACUCCAUUAUGGUGCCCAAUUAAGGCUGCCAUAAUAACGUGGGCCCUCCCAAGUAACGGCUGGGAAUCGGCGACUCAGGUAUGGGAGUCGCCGAUUCAGAGGUGUGGUCGCCGACUCCCCAUGAGCCAAGUUGGCAGUCUACCAGAACUGACCACGAGGCCGAGAGUCGGCGAUUCACCCCUGGAGUCGGCGACUUGGUAGUCCCAAUCGACGAUUCCAAGGUGUUGCCUUGAGUACUUGACGUAGAUACUUCCUCCGCAUUUGUGGAACUCUCCGGGGGUCCAGCAUAAAGAGGCGGAACCCUAUUCCUUGUUGAAGGGCGUUGCUAGGAAUGACUGACGUAAUCAGGCAUGUCUCACCAGUACUCUCCCCUGAAAAGAGCACAAGAAACAUGCGUGUACCGCCAACCCAAUUUGGAUUAUUUGUAGCCUCUUUGAAUGUCCUUGGCUCUUUGUUUAUUGUUAUGUUUUGAUUAGGUUUUUAUGUUUGUUUUUCAGUCUAUGAUAUGAUAUAGACUUACUUAAUGAAUGUUUUUUGCUAAAAUUUGUUGUUUCAUAUUCUUCCUGAUCAUAAUAUAGGAAGUUUUUAUCCCUGUGUUUAUUUGAUUUUAUUCUGUUUGAUACUCUUUUUGUAUUCAAUUAUUUUUCUAUCUCUGUGAUAGAUUGAUGGUAUUUUCUUUUUGAUUUGCUUCUCUGUUUUCAAUACUUUCUUGAAAAGAAUAUGAUGAAAUGCUCAUGUAUGAGUUAUUCAUAAAUCCAUGAAUAUUCAUUUCUUCUGUUGGCUGAAUCUCAUGACUCAUAUCAUUUCUUUAUUAUCUCUUGUUUCUGUCAAAUCAUUUGAUUUUGGCACAUCUUCUAAUAAGUUUUCUGUGCAAGGUUUAUUAUUUUCUUGUUCAAUCCUUUGCCCAGAUAUAUUGUUUUUGGAAUUUAGACUUCCUAAAAUCUCAUUUGAUCCAUUGGGAUCAGUGGAGCAUUUUAUAAUGAAAUUUUCAUUUUCAUUAUUUAUGCUUUGAGGAGUAUCUAUAUAGUCAUCCUCUAUUCUUAAUUUGAUUUGAUAUUCUAUUUCAUCAAUUUUUUUGUGAAUUUUUAUUAUUUUCUUUUAUUGAUUUAUUUUUAUCAUUAUCUUUGUAGAUAUUGUUUUAAUUUCUGUUAAUUUAGACAGAUCAUGGUUUAAAUUAUUCAUAUAUUGAAUAAAUGGUUCAAAUAUAGUUUGAUUACCAUUUAUUUUUGUAAUGUCUCUUUUAAUAUUUAUAAAGGAACACAUUUUCUUUGAAAGUGACAUUCCUACUGGUAAAUAUCUUACCAGUUUCAAGGUCCUGAAUCAAAAAACCUUAAAUUCCUUGGAGAUAUCCCAACAAGAUUCCUCUGUUGACCUUAUUUGAGAAUUUAUUCUCUUUUUCAGUGUUAUUUGCAUAACACAAACAACCUAUGGUUUUUACAUAACCAUAGUCAAUUUCUUUGUUAUUUAACACCUCAUAUGGUGUUUUAUAUCCUAAAGAUUUUGAACUAAUUCUAUUCAUGAUGUGUGCUGCAUUUAAGCAACAUAGUCCCUAAAUUUUUUUGGAAAAUAGGCUUGUAUUUUUAAUGCUCUGGCUAUAUUCAAAAUGUCUCUAUGUUUCCUUUCUACCUUACUAUUUUGUUGUGAAGAAUAAGGACAUGAGAAUUGUUGAAUCAUUCCAUUAUUUUUUUUUAAAUUGUAAUAUCUUUUGUUUUAAACUCCAAUCAAUUAUCAGACCUAAUCACUUUAAUUUGAAUCUGAAAUUGAGUUUUUAUCAUUUUAAUGAAUUCGAUGAUUAUUUGAGUUACUUCUGAUUUAUUUGCCAUCAAAUAAAUCCAAGUAAAUCUACUUUUAUCUUCUACAAUUGUGAGAAAAUAAUUUUUUUUGUUAUAUGUUGAUUGGGAAAUUUUCCCCAAAUAUCAACAUGUAUUAAAUCAAAUGUUUUUAGAGAAGAGGUAUAACUCUUUUUAUAUUUCAAUCUGAUUUAUUUUGCCAUUGGACACACAUCAUAUUUAUGAAAAACGUCUUUUUUAUUAAAAUCAUUCAAUCUGAAAUUAUUACAAGCAUAUCUAGCUAGUUUCUUAAUUUUUUAAAAAGAAAUGUGCCCAAGUCUGUUGUGCCAAGUUCUGAUAUCAGUGGCACAGCAAGCAACAACUUCUUUUAUGAACCAGUAUAUUCCAUUGAAGGGUCUACCUAGUCCAAUCAGUUUCUUUGAUGCUUUGUCCUGAUGAAAAUAACAUAAUUCUUCAUCAAAUAUGACUAAAACUUUAGAAGAUUUGGAUAGCUUUUCUACUGAAAUUAAAUUUGUUUUAAAAGUUGGGAUGUAUCAAGAGAGAGG